rnacentral:rRNA from 1 species
GAUGAACGCUGGCGGCGUGCUUAACACAUGCAAGUCGAACGGAAAGGCCCAAGCUUGCUUGGGUACUCGAGUGGCGAACGGGUGAGUAACACGUGGGUGAUCUGCCCUGCACUUCGGGAUAAGCCUGGGAAACUGGGUCUAAUACCGGAUAGGACCACUUCUUGGAUGUUGUGGUGGAAAGUUUUUUCGGUGUGGGAUGAGCUCGCGGCCUAUCAGCUUGUUGGUGGGGUAAUGGCCUACCAAGGCGUCGACGGGUAGCCGGCCUGAGAGGGUGUACGGCCACAUUGGGACUGAGAUACGGCCCAGACUCCUACGGGAGGCAGCAGUGAGGAAUAUUGCACAAUGGGCGCAAGCCUGAUGCAGCGACGCCGCGUGGGGGAUGACGGCCUUCGGGUUGUAAACUCCUUUCGCUAGGGACGAAGCGUUUUGUGACGGUACCUGGAGAAGAAGCACCGGCUAACUACGUG